rnacentral:piRNA from 1 species
UGGAAGUUCUGGUAUUAGCUGUAACAGUCA